UCCUCCUCUUCAUCAUCAUCAUCAACUUGCGAAGAGAAUGCAUCUCUCAUUGCACGAGGCCUUCAAAAUGAUGGAGUUUCAACCGGUGUUGAUCUUGCAGCCGAUCUCGAUUCAUAACGAGAUUCAGAAACUCCAGCUGCUCUACCAACAUCACCCCAGGUCAACACGUCAUCCAUGAAAACAAGAGAAUCAUCAUCAUCAUCAUCCCCAUCGCCUUUUUCUAAUUCACCAAGCAACCAUUCAUUACUCUCAUCAAUAUUUGCCAAAUCAAUAGGUGUUGUGAUAUCCCCAAAAGUGUGUCGGCGUAGCAACGCUCUAUUGUACUUCACAUAUACCAAAUUGUCCAAGCGUUCUUGAAAUAGCCGAUUUCUUUUCUUACUAUGAAGCUGUCAUUUAUUUUACAGUAACAAAUAAGUUAAACUUCAAACUCAAAAGGCUCAAGAUAAAAUAACAAAUUAAGAAAUCUAUAUAUAUAUAUAUUACUUACAUGCUCAAAUACACUCCAAUUUCUUUCGCAACCACUUGCACUACAUGUGAGACUCAGAACCUUUACAGCAAACUUUUGUAGGUUUGGAGUUGAAGAACCAUAUGUUUUCCACCAAGCAGCUGGAGAUUUGGUUGUUCUUCCUCUAAUAGCUGAAGGAAAACCAAAGGUCCCUGCAGCUGCCUUGUAUUUCUCAAUUUCAUCAAGAAUCAUAUCAACUUUUGCUGAAUUUUUUUCCAUUUUAUGAAUGCAUGAAAGCAAUCCUGUAUUGACCUCUUCAUCAGAUUCAAUUCUCAUCUUAUUUGGAUAAAAAAAUUCAGGAUUCAAAAAGUAUCCAGCAGCAUGCAAAGGACGAUGCAAUUGAAGUGACCAUCUCGCAUCAAUAAUCUCAAAAAUGCUCUUGUAUUUCUCUUCAUUGCCAUUGAGUGAGUUGGCAAUGGCUUCUUUAGCCCUAUCCAUGGCUUCAUAAAUAUAUCCCAUAGCUGUUUUUUUUUUCAUUAUCAACAAG
rnacentral:misc_RNA from 1 species